rnacentral:tRNA from 1 species
CGUGCUUGUAGCUCAAUGGAUAGAGCAGCAGACUACGGAUCUGAUGGUUGAGAGUUCAAGUCUUUCCAAGCAUAU